rnacentral:rRNA from 1 species
CCUACGGGGGGCAGCAGUGAGGAAUAUUGGUCAAUGGACGAGAGUCUGAACCAGCCAAGUAGCGUGAAGGAUGACUGCCCUAUGGGUUGUAAACUUCUUUUAUAUGGGAAUAAAAUGUUCCACGUGUGGGAUUUUGUAUGUACCAUAUGAAUAAGGAUCGGCUAACUCCGUGCCAGCAGCCGCGGUAAUACGGAGGAUCCGAGCGUUAUCCGGAGUUAUUGGGUUUAACGGGAGCGUAGGUGGUUUGUUAAGUCAGUUGUGAAAGUUUGCGGCUCAACCGUAACAUUGCAGUUGAAACUGGGAGUCUUGAGUACAGUAGAGGUGGGCGGAAUUCGUGGUGUAGCGGUGAAAUGCUUAGAUAUCACGAAGAACUCCGAUUGCGAAGGCAGCUCACUGGACUGCAACUGACACUGAGGCUCGAAAGUGUGGGUAUCAAACAGGAUUAGAUACCCUGGUAGUC